GACAUAAGUGGUUUAUGGUUUUGCUCCAGUGUGUGGGUUUCUUUGCGGCUGCUCAAGAUCAACCAGUUCUUCGGGAAGGCGAACCCCAAGGCUCCACCGCCCAGCCUGACUGACUGCAUUGGCACGGUGGUCAGCAGGGCAGAAUCCAUUGACAAGAAGAUUUCUCGAUUGGAUGCUGAGCUAGUAAAGUAUAAGGAUCAGAUCAAGAAGAUGAGAGAGGGUCCUGAAAAGAAUAUGGUUAAGCAGAAAGCCUUGCAAGUUUUAAAGUAAAAGUGGAUGUAUGAGCAGCAGCAGGGCAAUCUUGAACAACAGCCAUUCAACAUGGAAGAAGCCAAUUAUACCAUCCAGUCAUUGAAGAACACCAAGACCACGGUUGAUGCUAUGAAACUGGGAGUAAAGGAAAUGAAGAAGGCAUACAAGCAACUGAAAAUCGACCAGAUUGAGUAUUUACAAGACCAGCUAAAGGAUAUGAUGGAAGAUGCAAAUGAAAUCCAAGAAGCACUGAUUCGCAGUUAUGGCACCCCAGAACUGGUUGAAGAUGACCUGCAAUUCCGGAAGGUGUUCCCACUGACCCAAAAAGCAAGGAUAGAGUUCUUCUGGUGGAUGAAUUUGGAUUGCCACAGAUCCCUGCUUCAUAGAUCAGCAUCAUUCAAGUAUAUCUUAUAAAACAAACACAUAUUAUGGGACUAGGAAAUAUUUAUCUUUCCAAAUUUACCAUAACAGAUUUAUGUUUCUUUCCUUUCUUUGAAGGAAAGUUUAAUUACAUUGCUCUUUGAUUUUUUCCGUUAAGAGACUCAUUGUUUGGGAAAUGCUUUUUUUUUUUUUUUUUGUACUAAAAUUUGAUUCCUUUUUUUCUUAUGAAAAUUGCACUUAGUUUAAAAGUAUCUUUGGCUUGUAUGACUUGUUUUCAUUCAUUAGUAAUACUUUGAAAUAAAACUAAGGAAAUGGAAUGUUAAAAAUCUAUGACGGUGUAACUCUACAGUCUCAAAAUGACCUGAUAAAUCGGUAAGACAAAGAUGAGAUUAUUGGGGCUGUUCAUAUUAUGAUUCAGAAUCAUUUUCUAUUGUGGUAUUAUAGGUUGGUUAAAGUGAUGGCCUUUUUGAUAGGUUUUGUUGUGUCUUGUGAACAAAUCAUUUCUGUGUCCAAUAUUGGAAUGGAAUUAUCACUAUUGUAUCAUGAGUGGGUAUUUUGAUUCUAUGGUUCCCUCAGUAUUACAUCUUGACUUCUAAUCAAUAAUGAAUAUUUCUUGAUAUUUAGUGUAUAGGACAUUUAUUUAUACUCAAUAAAUAUUUUUCAAAAGGAUAUAAUUUUAAUAAUAUCACUUCAGCUUAAAACCUCCACUGUGGAAACCAAAUUUAAUAGAAUUUUAAUGUCAUUUCAGCCUAUAACUCCACUAUAGAAACCAAAUUAACCAUUGUGAGGAAAGAGCAAGGGACAAUCUGGGCUUGGGCCCUGGGUCUGCCAUUUACUAACUACUGAGUAGUCUAUUCAACUUUUCUAAACUUCUGUUUCCUUGUUAGUAAAAUCAUGCUAAUCUCACAGAGCUUUUGUGAAGAAUAAUUGAGGUAAUGGUCAUAAGUACCUUGUUAACCACAAUGGGCUAUUCUAAUAUGAGGGAUUGUUAACAAUAAAAAAGCAACUGCUUCAAAAAAAAAGAGAAGUAGAAUUAAUCAUUUUUAAAAUGUCAUUAUUUGUUGCUGCUGUUGUUGU